rnacentral:misc_RNA from 1 species
UAUUUUUAAUUGUUUCAGACAUAAUACCACAGAUGGCUUCCGAUCAGGACAAGGACUCAAAUCAAUCAGAAGAUCAAUUGGAUCAAUUUGAUCAGCUGGAUCUAAUCGAUCAGGAUGAUCACGAAGAACAUGAACUCUCUCCAGAUCUUUUAAUUAAACAUCCUCUCCAGAACUCCUGGACUCUGUGGUUUUAUAAAAAUGACAAAAGUAAGUCCUGGGAAGCCAACCAGAGAGAGAUCAUCACAUUCAAUACAGUAGAGGACUUCUGGGCACUCUACAAUCACAUCGAGCUCGCCUCCAGACUUGCUGCUGGAUGCGACUAUUCCCUGUUUAAAGAAGGAAUACGACCUAUGUGGGAAGAUGAAAGCAAUAAGAGAGGAGGACGUUGGUUGAUAAAUUUGGACAAAAAGCAACGUGGAUCCUGUUUAGAUAAUUUCUGGCUUGAAGUGGUUCUGUGUCUCAUAGGGGAGUCAUUUGAGAGCGAGAGUGUACUUGUUAAUGGGGCUGUGGUAAAUGUCAGAGCAAGGGGAGAUAAGCUGUCGAUGUGGCUGUGUGAGGCCAAACCUCAGGAGGCUAUUGUUAGUGUUGGUCAGAGGCUCAAAGGGAGGCUGGGCAUUGAAGAAAAGGUUAUCAUUGGUUAUGAGGUGCAUAGUGAUACGAUGAGUAAACAGGGUUCUACAGCAAAGAUACGAUACACAGUUUGAUAUCCAGGUCUCGCCAUUGACGUACACUAGAAAACAAACAUUAAGCAGUACUGUGCAGUACUGAACUGUACUGUACUGCGGAUGCGUUCAUGCCAACAAAGUAUAUAAAGCAAGCAAAUACCAUCAAUUUUAUAAAUUUAUAUAAUUUUAUGGUAAAUUUUAAAAGGAUUUCUAAAAUGACCUUACAAUGUAGGGGUAUUCGAAUUAUUCUAUAUUUAAAAAAGACAAAAAUUAGGUUUUAUUACUUGAUCGAAAACAUAAGGAAUAUUGCGUUAGAAAAUAGUUUGGUGCAUUUAUUUUUAAAUGCCCUUCAUUCAGUUUACGUCUGAAGAUGCUUCUAGGAAGCGAUUAAAACAAUUUUUAGAAUUUUCUCGAGAAACUAAAUAUUUUUUUAGUCGUUAGAACUUUCUUUAACUAGGACCAGAUUUAACUAGUUAAAAUAUACCCUUCAAGCUCAUUCAUACACAUGAUAAGACUCAUUCAGCUUAAGUGAAAAAACGUUGUUACAUGGUUUUAGAAAUUCUUAUUUUCAGACGAAACUAAAAGAUUGUUUCAGUUGUUGAAAUUAUUGAUACUAAUUUAAUUUUUAAUUAUUUAUUUCUCCAAUUAAUUUGUUUGAAGCAGAAUCUCUCAAAAACUCUCAGUCAUAGAAUAGACUUUCCUCGUCAUUUCUAGCAAAUUACCCUCUUAAUCAGGAUUGUUUAUUUUUAUUUUUUAUUUUGCAAACUUUUACUGGCUGACGGGAGAAUUUUGAAAGAUCUUCUCUAAAAAAUCUAGUCUUCGAAAUUGUUAUUUUUAAGAGAUUAAUUAGAGAAAGGUGACCUCAAUUUCGUCUUUCUAAUUCCUUGCAUAAAUAAUUAUUUUGAAAGAUACUUGCCAAUUUGGGACAACCAGUCAAAGACGUGUGGAAUACAAUUAUAUGGAUAGUUAAAAUUCUUCACAAUUAGAAUAAUCAGUUAUUCUUAAAUAUCGAACUAUCGAAAGCAUUUCAAAAUUAUCCGAACUUUAAACUGAAUGUUGUGAACGAAAUUGUUCAUUGAUAUUUGGUUCAUAAGUUCGGACUAGAUAUUUAUAAUUUCGGACUAGAUGUUCACAAUUUCGAACUAAAUGUUCAUAACUUAGAAUUAAAUGUUCAUAAUUUCGCAAUGCAUUCUACUAAUUCUGUAUUUAAAUUGGCUAUGAAAAAUUGUUUAACUUUCCGUCUAUUCAUCGUCUUAGGUGGACUGAACACCUUUUCUUUAACCUAAAUACUCCUCGUAUUAAGUUAGUUUUAUAAAACUAAUGUUAUCAUGAGGUUGGAAAAAAUCGCAAAAACAAAAAAUGUAAAAAAA